AGAGUUUGAUCCUGGCUCAGGAUGAACGCUGGCGGCGUGCUUAACACAUGCAAGUCGAACGAAGCAUAUAAAAGGAAUUUCUUCGGAGAGGAAUUUUAUAUGACUGAGUGGCGGACGGGUGAGUAACGCGUGGGCAACCUACCCCACACAGGGGGACAACAGUUGGAAACGACUGCUAAUACCGCAUAGGCGCACAGCUUCGCAUGAAGCAGUGUGGAAAACCGAGGUGGUGUGGGAUGGGCCCGCGUCUGAUUAGCUAGUUGGCGGGGUAACGGCGCACCAAGGCGACGAUCAGUAGCCGGCCUGAGAGGGUGGACGGCCACAUUGGGACUGAGACACGGCCCAAACUCCUACGGGAGGCAGCAGUGGGGAAUAUUGCACAAUGGGGGAAACCCUGAUGCAGCGACGCCGCGUGAGCGAAGAAGUAUUUCGGUAUGUAAAGCUCUAUCAGCAGGGAAGAAAAUGACGGUACCUGACUAAGAAGCCCCGGCUAAAUACGUGCCAGCAGCCGCGGUAAUACGUAUGGGGCAAGCGUUAUCCGGAUUUACUGGGUGUAAAGGGAGCGCAGGCGGCUUGGCAAGUCUGAUGUGAAAGGCUGGGGCUCAACCCCAGGACUGCAUUGGAAACUGUUAGGCUAGAGUGUCGGAGAGGUAAGCGGAAUUCCUAGUGUAGCGGUGAAAUGCGUAGAUAUUAGGAGGAACACCAGUGGCGAAGGCGACUUUCUGGACGAUAACUGACGUUGAGGCACGAAAGUGUGGGGAGCAAACAGGAUUAGAUACCCUGGUAGUCCACACUGUAAACGAUGGAUACUAGGUGUAGGGUGUAUUAAGCACUCUGUGCCGCCGCAAACGCAUUAAGUAUCCCACCUGGGGAGUACGACCGCAAGGUUGAAACUCAAAGGAAUUGACGGGGGCCCGCACAAGCAGUGGAGUAUGUGGUUUAAUUCGAAGCAACGCGAAGAACCUUACCAGGGCUUGACAUAUACCGGAAUAUACUAGAGAUAGUAUAGUCCUUCGGGACUGGUAUACAGGUGGUGCAUGGUUGUCGUCAGCUCGUGUCGUGAGAUGUUGGGUUAAGUCCCGCAACGAGCGCAACCCCUAUCGUUAGUUGCUAGCAGGUAAAGCUGAGAACUCUAGCGAGACUGCCGGUGAUAAAUCGGAGGAAGGUGGGGAUGACGUCAAAUCAUCAUGCCCUUUAUGUCCUGGGCUACACACGUACUACAAUGGCCGCAACAGAGGGAAGCGAAAUAGUGAUAUGGAGCAAAACCCGAAAAACGGUCUCAGUUCGGAUUGAAGGCUGAAAUUCGCCUUCAUGAAGCUGGAAUUGCUAGUAAUGGCAGGUCAGCAUACUGCCGUGAAUACGUUCCCGGGCCUUGCACUCACCGCCCGUCA
rnacentral:rRNA from 1 species